GAGGGUACAGCUCAGUGGUAGAACAUGUGCUUAGCAUGCACGAGGUCCUGGGUUCAACCCCUAGUACUUCCA
rnacentral:tRNA from 1 species